rnacentral:rRNA from 1 species
AGAGUUUGAUCCUGGCUCAGGACGAACGCUGGCGGCGUGCCUAACACAUGCAAGUCGAACGGGACCGGGGGCAACUUCGGUUCAGUGGCGGACGGGUGCGUAACACGUGAGGAACAUGACCUUCGGCGGGGGAUAGCCGGCCCAACGGCCGGGUAAUACCGCGNUACGACCAUUCGGGGACAUCCCUGGGGUGGUGAAAGCAGCAAUGCGCCGAUGGAGUGCCUCGCGGCCUAUCAGCUAGUUGGUGGGGUAACGGCUCACCAAGGCAACGACGGGUAGCUGGUCUGAGAGGAUGGCCAGCCACAUUGGGACUGAGACACGGCCCAGACUCCUACGGGAGGCAGCAGUGGGGAAUAUUGCGCAAUGGACGAAAGUCUGACGCAGCGACGCCGCGUGUGGGAUGACGGUCUUCGGAUUGUAAACCACUGUCGGGAGGGACGAAUACGCCGCAAGGCGGGUGACGGUACCUCCAAAGGAAGCACCGGCUAACUCCGUGCCAGCAGCCGCGGUAAUACGGAGGGUGCGAGCGUUGUCCGGAAUCACUGGGCGUAAAGGGCGCGUAGGCGGCCUGAUAAGUAGGGGGUGAAAUCCUGCGGCUUAACCGCAGGGCUGCCUUCUAAACUGUCAGGCUUGAGCACAGUAGAGGCAGGUGGAAUUCCCGGUGUAGCGGUGGGAUGCGUAGAGAUCGGGAANAACAUCAGUGGCGAAGGCGGCCUGCUGGGC